GACGAACGCUGGCGGCGUGCUUAACACAUGCAAGUCGAACGGAAAGGCCCUGCUUUUGUGGGGUGCUCGAGUGGCGAACGGGUGAGUAACACGUGAGUAACCUGCCCUUGACUUUGGGAUAACUUCAGGAAACUGGGGCUAAUACCGGAUAGGAGCUCCUGCUGCAUGGUGGGGGUUGGAAAGUUUCGGCGGUUGGGGAUGGACUCGCGGCUUAUCAGCUUGUUGGUGGGGUAGUGGCUUACCAAGGCUUUGACGGGUAGCCGGCCUGAGAGGGUGACCGGCGACAUUGGGACUGAGAUACGGACCAGACUCCAACGGUAGGCAGCAGUGGGGAAUAUUGCACAAUGGGCGGAAGCCUGAUGCAGCAACGCCGCGUUCGGGAUGACGGCCUUCGGGUUGUAAACCGCUUUCGCCUGUGACGAAGCGUGAGUGACGGUAAUGGGUAAAGAAGCACCGGCUAACUACGUG
rnacentral:rRNA from 1 species